rnacentral:rRNA from 1 species
UACGGGGGGGGCAAGCGUUGUUCGGAAUUACUGGGCGUAAAGGGCUCGUAGGCGGCCAACUAAGUCAGACGUGAAAUCCCCAGGCUCAACCUGGGAACUGCGUCUGAUACUGGAUGGCUUGAAUCCGGGAGAGGGAUGCAGAAUUCCAGGUGUAGCGGUGAAAUGCGUAGAUAUCUGGAGGAACAUCAGUGGCGAAGGCGGCCAUCUGGGACAACACUGACGCUGAGGCACGAAAGCGUGGGGAGCAAACAGG